CCUUCUCCUCUUCUUCUUCUUCUUCUCCUCCUUCUUCUUCUUUCUCCUUCUCCUUCUCCUCCUCCUUCUCCUUCUUCACACUUGUCUACCUCAUACCCCAGCCUUGCCUGAUUUAUUUAACUGCAAGUUAGAAACUGGGAGAGAACCAACUUGGAGCUUUUUUGGUCUGGGAAAGAAAAUCCAAACCAUGCUUCUCAAGGGCCUCCUGACCUGGCUAAGCUCCAUGGAAGGAACCCUGGCCACGAGGGAUCUAAGCACCGCUCUGGUUUCCCAGAAGCCUGUGGGUGACUCUCAUCUGGCGGUGGACCUCAGAUGGGGCUCAGCAGUGAAAGAGGGGAAGACAAAAAUCUGGCGAGCGAGCUGCCCGGGCCGAGACUGGCCACUUCAAACAGCCCUUCAAACAAAAGGAGACGACGAAAAGAAAGCCCCACCUGUCUCCAGUGUUUGCUAAAAUAAUAAUAAAUAGAUUUCGUUUAAUAAAUAAUUACAA
rnacentral:antisense_RNA from 1 species